CCUACGGGGGGCAGCAGUGGGGGAUAUUGCACAAUGGGGGGAACCCUGAUGCAGCGACGCCGCGUGGGUGAAGGAGGGUUUCGGCGUGUAAAGCCCUAUCGGCAGGGAAGAAGGAGGACGGUACCUGACUAAGAAGCCCCGGCUAACUAGAUGCCAGCAGCCGCGGUAAUCCGUAGGGGGCAAGCGUUAUCCGGAUUUACGGGGUGUAAAGGGGGCGAAGGGGGCAGGGCAAGCCAGGAGUGAAAGCCCGGGGCGCACCCCCGGAACUGCUCUUGAAACUGCGCGGCUGGAGUGCGGGAGGGGCAGGCGGAAUUCCUGGUGUAGCGGUGAAAUGCGUAGAUAUCAGGAGGAACACCGGUGGCGAAGGCGGCCUGCUGGACUGCGACUGACGUUGAGGCCCGAAAGCGUGGGGAGCAAACAGGAUUAGAUACCCGAGUAGUC
rnacentral:rRNA from 1 species